AUGAACGCUGGCGGCGUGCCUAAUACAUGCAAGUCGAGCGAACAGACGAGGAGCUUACUCCUCUGACGUUAGCGGCGGACGGGUGAGUAACACGUGGAUAACCUACCUAUAAGACUGGGAUAACUUCGGGAAACCGGAGCUAAUACCGGAUAACAUGUUGAACCGCAUGGUUCAACAGUGAAAGACGGUCUUGCUGUCACUUAUAGAUGGAUCCGCGUCGCAUUAGCUAGUUGGUAAGGUAACGGCUUACCAAGGCAACGAUGCGUAGCCGACCUGAGAGGGUGCUCGGCCACACUGGAACUGAGACACGGUCCAGACUCCUACGGGAGGCAGCAGUAGGGAAUCUUCCGCAAUGGGCGAAAGCCUGACGGAGCAACGCCGCGUGAGUGAAGAAGGUCUUCGGAUCGUAAAACUCUGUUAUUAGGGAAGAACAAAUGUGUAAGUAACUAUGCAUGUCUUGACGGUACCUAAUCAGAAAGCCACGGCUAACUACGUG
rnacentral:rRNA from 1 species